rfam:Otolemur garnettii contig010586, whole genome shotgun sequence.
GUGCCGGUGGCUCAAGGGUGUAGAGUGCUGGCCCCAUAUGCCAGAGGUGGUGGGUUCAAAUGCAGCCCUGGCCCA